GAGUGUAUUCUGAUGGUUCUUAUGGGAUACCAAAGGAUAUUAUUUACUCUUUUCCUGUUAAAUGUGAGAAAGGAAAAUGGUCAAUUGUGAAGGGGCUCAAGAUCAAUGUCUUCUCAAGGGCAAAGAUGGAUGCAAUAGCCAAAGACCUCAUUGAUGAAAAAGAAGUUGCCCAUUCAUGCCUCAACUAACAAUGAACCCAUCUUCCCUUGGAAAAUAAUGAAGAAGACUUGAUAAUGCUUGAAAAGAAAAAGGGAUUUCCAAUUUCCAUCCUAACUUUAUGUACAAAUUUUAUCAGUCGCUUAUAAGCUUUGGAACAAUGAUAGAACAAGAUAUGUCGUGAUUUAUCUUA